UCACCGUGUGGGGCCUCGGAUCACGGGAGAAGCCGGAGUGGGGCCUUCUCCCACCAAGAGGGGGAAGGGAAGAAAGGGAAAGAAGGGCAGUCCACUUCCCACGGAACUCACCUCUGUCCUCUGCUGGCGGUGCUCAAGGCUCCUCUUUUUCUCCCAAGGAGCACAAACUCUCCAAUGGAAUCGCAGCAGGUUCGGGCUGGAGGCAGGAGCAGCGUGCAGGCAAGCCGAGGCGAGUGGUCAGAAAUGACCAGGUCGAGAGCAAGAAAAAAGGGCCUCAAAGCUUUUCCAAAUGCGCACGACCUCCCCGUCUCCCUUCGAGUAGAGAAACCAAACUGUUCUCCCGUUCGUGAGGAGGGCAGCAGCAAAAACUCCUCCUCCCUCCCUCCAGUCUUAGGAGUCAGAAGUUCCUUUGGGCCUUAUCAUAUACAUCAGGGAUGGGGUUUGUCACUAACAGCUUUACAAAGGUGUUACUUCUCAUCAUCUGCAAUGUGUCCCACUGCUGUCACACGCCUAACCUCUUCCCAUGAUUACAUGGUUCAUGAACACCUCUUCAGAAGGUUGGAUUUCCCAAAUACAUACACGCAAAGUGUGGGUGGUGCAGCCAGCUAAGCUGGUGUUUAUACACAGGUACAAAAAUGCUCCUCUUUGGUUGACUGAGAAGUCUUUGCAAACAAAAACCACUCCAGUCUAAGACCUUCAAUCCAGUGAUCCAGAAAAAUACUUUUUUAUUUCUUCAGAUAUUGUGGCUUUGAGAAGAGAACUUCAGCUUUAUGUCCAUGUUCCCGUGUCCAUUUCAGUGCAGGCAGAUUGGUCCUGUACAAAUUAUUGUUACAAAGCAGUUUGAUAUAAAGCAAAUAUUCUUCCCAACUGAAGCAAAAUGUACAUGCUAAAAGGAUAUACAUGUUGCCCUGAACUAUUUGCCAUCCUUAUGAUGGUUCUGCUGGGACAUGGAGGAGUGAGGAGGUUGACACAGGCUAUGACUUUUACAAAGGGGCCCUUCAGAAAUUGCUCUCACAUAUUGGACAGCACAGCAGGCAAGGUCAUCUUUGCUGCAGCAUGUGUCCAAAAUCCCUCUCAUUGUUGCUCAUUGUUGGCCUGGUGGAAAUGAUCUGUGUCCACUUCCAAUGCAGUUAGCUAUCCUCAGAGGGGUAAAAAGAGACAGAAAACAGUGGGCAGUCUGCCCAUUCUAUGCUUUGCAUCUGAAGUCCUGGGCACAGGGCCCUUACAUUGCAGAUGCCCUGAAAAACCCCCAACUGCUGUCCAGAUGUUACAGUGACCCUAGAAUUGCUUACCCCUCUGCCCCACCAUUAUUCCACCCAUAGAAUACCCCAUUCUCCUUAGGCUCCUCAACAGGACUGCUCACAGGCAGGGUAAUCCAGCCAGAGCUGGCUGUCUCCUCUGCUGGACUCCAUCUCUAGUGCACACAGCCGCACCAUGGUUUCAAGCAAGUGCUCUACCCCUGAGUCUCUUGAGUUUUUUACCUUCAGCUAUGGAGAGCUGGGCAUUCUCUUACCUAAUCUCAAGCUUGAG